rnacentral:rRNA from 1 species
UACACAUGCAAGUCGAACGAGAGGCUCUUCGGAGUAGUAAAGUGGCGCACGGGUGAGUAAUACAUGGGUAAUCUGCCUUUGAGUGGGGAAUAACCAGCCGAAAGGCUGGCUAAUACCGCAUACGGUUCCGGUCCUGCGGGUAAGGAAGGAAAGCUGCAUCGUGGAUGUGGCGCUCGAAGAGGGGCUCAUGGCCUAUCAGCUUGUUGGUAGGGUAACGGCCUACCAAGGCGACGACGGGUAGCUGGUCUGAGAGGACGAUCAGCCACACUGGCACUGAGAUACGGGCCAGACUCCUACGGGAGGCAGCAGUGAGGAAUAUUGCGCAAUGGGCGAAAGCCUGACGCAGCGACGCCGCGUGGGGGAAGAAGGUUCUCGGAUUGUAAACCCCUUUUAGGAGGAAAGAUGGGGUGGGCAACCACCCGGACGGUACCUCCAGAAAAAGCCACGGCUAACUUCGUGCCAGCAGCCGCGGUAAUACGAAGGUGGCGAGCGUUGUUCGGAUUUACUGGGCGUAAAGAGCACGUAGGCGGUUUGGUAAGCCCCUUGGGAAAGCUCCGGGCUUAACCCGGAAAGUUCGAGGGGGACUGCCAAGCUAGAGGGCGGGAGAGGAGCGCGGAAUUCCCGGUGUAGCGGUGAAAUGCGUAGAUAUCGG